rnacentral:lncRNA from 1 species
UUUUUUUUUUUUUUUUUUUUGUAGUUGAACGUGGAUCUUUUGAUGACCUUCUAGUCUAUUUUAUUGCUUUUUAUUGAACGAAACUUACCCAUUUGCGGAAUUAGGCGUGUAGGUGCUACAUAAUUGAUAUUCACCGACUUUAUCUGCAGGCUUCAAAGGUUGAAAUAUCAUCCUUUCGUUUCAAAAGAUAAGAAGACAACUCUUGGCAGAAAUGGAUUCAUAGCUACACACCAAGAAUGAAAAGCAAAGAAUAGCACAAAUUUGGCCAUACUUUUUUUUUUUUUUUUUGUAAUGGUUUUUUGUUGGGGAGAGAAAACCAACGGAAUAAUGACAAAUUGUCAUAAUUUAAACAACGCUAACAAGAGGAGCAUGGUCAUGCUGCAUGAACACAUAGCCAUAGAUGACACCGGCCAAGCCACCACCAAUGAGGGGUCCAACCCAGUAAAUCCAGUUGCCGCUGAAGUUACCGCUCGCCACGGCCGGUCCAAAGGAGCGAGCUGGGUUCAUUGAUCCACCGGAGAAUGGUCCGGCGGCCAAGAUGUUGGCACCGACAAUGAAACCGAUGGCAAUUGGGGCAAUGACACCCAGUGAACCCCUCUUUGGAUCAGCUGCCGUGGCAUAGACUGUGUAAACCAAAGCAAAGGUGGUGAUGAUUUCCAUCACAACUCCUUGAAGUGCUCCUACCCCGGCGGCAACACUGUGGAUUGGAAUAGCCUGACAAAAUUCACCACAAAAUUACAUUAGAAAAGGCAUCUAUAAUUUCGAAACACACUAAUUACGGACGUUAGAAAUGGAACUUACCAAGCCUCCAGUGACAACUUUGAGAAGGUAGGAAGCCACAAUUGCGCCCAAAAGUUGAGCAAUCCAGUAUAGGAGACCGGUGAGGAUGGUGAUUUGACCCCCCAGAGCCAAACCGAAAGUAACGGCGGGGUUGACGUGGCCGCCGGAGAUGUUGGCUGCAAUGGCGACUGCAACAAAGAGAGCAAAACCAUGGCAAACUGCGACUGCCACAAGCCCAGAAGGAUCAAGAGCCGCGUCUGAUGUCAGUUUGUCUGCCACAAAUCACAAUUUAUGUAAACAAGCUAGUCAAGAGAUUAUAAGCAAGCCAUAAAUGGCCUUAGUGACCAACUCAAAUCUGCAUGGGCAUGCAUGGGAUGAGGACUCCAUACUAGGUUUUUUGGGUCAUUGAGAUGCAUUGAAUGAUUGUAGGGAACAUUAAUAACACUAUCAGGUGUGUGCUAUUAUCGCUGCUAAAGAUCAAUGUUAUCUGUUAAAAAUGCAUUUCUCUUUUUCAUCUUUUUCUUGAACGUUAAAAUUGACUAGGCUUGUGUGAUAAUCUAGAAACUAGAAAGUAAAGGUACAUAAGGAAGCUUAUUUACUGUAGGCCAUGGCUGAACCAACUCCGGCGAAGACGAAAACCAAUGUGGAGAUGAAUUCAGCAAGAUAUGCCUUGAGAGACCCUACACUAAAUGAAUCAUCAAACCGUCCGAAAGCAAUUCCAGCCAUUCCUUUUUUUUUUUUUUUUUCCUUUUGCUUUUGGGGGGUGGUUGGGGAAGAAGGGGGAGGAAGAGGAAGAUAAGCCUGAGAGUUGAGAGCGGCGGAAGGCUGGAGCUAGAUGUAGGAAAUGGAUAGAAAGCUUUCAGAUGACAAAGCUACCUUUUCUGUCUCACGUACAAAUAUAUAUACUAAACACGUACAAAUAAAAUAAAGGUAUUUGGAUAGCAAAUUAUUCGUGAGUUUUGUUCCUGUAGCACAUGCCAUUUGCCAAAUUCUAAACCCAACCGAUAAUCAUUUAUGUAUGUAGUAAAGAUUAAGUAGUAGUAGUUGGAUUAUGUACUUGAUGAUAAUGUGACUGCUGGGUCAUCGAUAUUGGAUUGGGAUCCCGAGCUCCGGAUGACUGUUUUCCUCGUUAGAAGAUGAGAGGAAUAUGCUGUGUACAAUUAAUCCAUGCAUUUGCGAACAAGGGCUGUGUACAUACAUUUCUUGCAAUCCUCCUAGCUGUCCUUGACUAACAUGCCUUGGAUGCAAUUGUCAGGAAUGAUGCAUCCAUGUGAACCGACCAAUAGGAGAGGAGGCUAAUGGUGAAUGUCCCUUUUGGGGCCCCCCCCUUUCCCUCCCUUUGUGAUAAAAAAAAAAGGAACUAAGUCAAAUAAUGACACAGAGAGAAAAGGAAAGGAAGAAAGAAAGAAAGUGGUUUCCGGCAUGAGUUAACUUUGCGCCAAAAAGUGGACCGACCAUUACUUUUUGAAGAGGUAGGGAUGAUUGAUUGAGGAGGACUGAGUUGCUCAAAAAUGUGUGGAUGAGAAUGGAGUAGGAUUACUAAUUACUAUUUGCUAGCAUCUAAUUUUUGUUGCUUAAUUAUUGCAAUGCACACGUACGUACUUUCAAGGGGUACGUUUGAUCAAUGUAAUUGAUCAAUUCUAAGAUGGGAUUGGGAGGAAUCUUGUGAGGAGUUGUUGGCAUAUUUGGAGGUUUUGGCUCCAUCGUGGAAGAUAUUAAUUGUUGUACUAAAAAUGGGCUUAAUCAUUUACGUAUGUUGAUGCAUGGUUCAACAUGUCCAAUUGAAGAAUUGAAGCAUUUUGUUUUCGUUAGUGGAGGGAGGGAGGGUUCACAUGAUUCCUUUUGUCCUCUGGGACUGCAUCAGAAUGUUGUUAGUGACGACGUAUUGACAACUCCAAUUCAUCAAAUACUACUAUUCCACGUACGUUUAUUCACUUCACUACUAUAUAUUACUGUGGCCUUAUUCCAAAUUUGGUAGUAUCGAUCAAAUUGGAAAGUCUUGUGUCCUCAUAUGAUAUGAGAUGGUGGGGCUGGUAAUUAAAAUGAAUUAGCACUAAACUUCCAACUUAGUAGAAUGUGCACUUAAUAGGUAUGCCAUACAAAAUCUCUACAACUUGUAUCCAAUCGCGCUAUCAUUCAUCUGCGCACUCGCAAAAGGGAAUUGUCGACUUUUGCUUUUACACUUUCUGGCGCAUGAAUUGCCAUCGCCACAAGCUUUGUGAGUUAGUUCAACGGUACCACCCAAUGGCCGUGCUCUUCUUAUCAUCUCAGAAGGGCACCAAUACCACCUUUAAGCCUGAAUAAGGGCGUUCACGUAAAAGAACCUUAGACUUUCACACUUUUGGGCCUAGUGACUUUCACGGCUUUUGAAGGUUGUUCGGGGAUCUAGGUUUAUUUACACAAAAGUCUGAGUUUCUCAGCUUGGAAAAAGACUGCUAAGGCAAUAAAUAUGUAAUGGACAAAGAGUAAUCAUUAGUGUCCGUCCACAUUCUUUGAAAAUUGACAAACCCAUUUAAAAUGCCGGUCGUUUUCAAAGCGUCUCCUUGAAAACAAACUGAAAUCCCGUUUCUUUGAUACAAUCGGGCCAAGAUCCAUAUCGAGUGAUAUUUCUUAACAGAAAUCAAGUACUUGCAAAAAAAUGAUCUAGAUUCUUUUGGUUUCAUUAAAGAAUUUUCCAAUAAGCAAUGGAUAUUGGUGCAAGUAGAAGACAGGAAGAGGCUUGCAUCUCUUAUCGAUGAGAUCUCGGAUUCGAAACUCUUGGGAAUAGAAAAAAUAAUGUUGGGAGAGUUUUCCCUGCAAGGGGCCGAUCCUACUCGAAUAGAAUUAGUCGCAGAUCGUAAAACGGAUGCGAACACCUGUGGGUUAUACCUAAAAAAAAAAAAAAAAAAGAACUUUCCAAUAGGGGUCUAAUUUGAUACACACAUUACAAUUACAUUUAUUUUUUAAAUUAUAGAGUGCAUUUUUUUUUUUCAAAUUUAAGUUCACUUUUCCAGAAUGUUAGUACUUGCUCGUGACCUAUCUUUGCCCGUUACGCAAUCCCGUGACACUACUGAUCAGGUAGACCAAGCCAGCGUUCGUCUGCUUCUUAUGCUGCAAUUAGAACGGGACAUUGGCAUGUACCAACUCUAUUUCAUAUUUAUGGUCAGAGCUUGAUUAGAUUCUCAAGUUCUUAACCUAUCUGUUGAGUAUUUUUUGAACUUAUAUAGUUCCAAUGUAUAUAAACAGAAAUAGUGAAUAGUGAUGGACUGAUGGGAUGGAACCUUGUACUUGGCGAUCACGACCAAAACUCCAACCUAUCAACCCUACAGCGUAGAAAGCUUCUGGUUCUGGAGGGAGGCGUGGUGCAGCGGCUGAUACGUUAAAAUGAUAGAUAGGCAGCAUUAAAAGGGGUUGUUGGCUAUACCGCAACGUCGCAAUUAAGAGCUUAAUAGAGAGAGAGCCAGGAGAAAUUUAGGCAUUAUCCGACCACCAUCAAGUACUAAUUGGACGUUCUUUUCUUUUAUUCUUUCCUUUUGGAUCAGAAAAGUUCUUUUCUAUGUCAGGCGAGAACGGAAAACACAAAACUCUCAAGAAAGGAAUUUUUUGUCCAAUGAUCUUAAACAUGGGCAGAGCCAGAUAAGAAAAUCGAGGUUAAUGAAUCCCAAGUUUUUUCUACUUUCAGUUUUUGCAGCUAGAUUUUGAAGAAAUUUGUCUUUUAGGAUAUAUAUCAGAGGCAACUGCGAUUAGAAUUUAUUAGAGACCAAGAGACGACAGAAUUUCCAUAUUCAGGUACUUUGGGGUCAGUGAGGCCUUAGUUUGGUUACGCAACAGAAAGUGAUUAUCUGAUAUCCAGACUCGGGAUAAAAAUCCCAAUUGGCAAAAAUCUUAAUUUUAGUUCUUACUGGUGUAUGAGUUCUUGUUCAUAUGUAAGUUUACUGGCCGGAACUGAGACUUUUCAGCAAUGCCAAUAUGCUGAUUUCAUCACUGUUGAAAUGAACCUGGAAACUGGAAAUAUGACUCUAAAUUGAGGAAUGAAACAAAUUGCAUUUACAUUUGCAUGCAUGUAGUAAUUGCCAGCACCGAACUUCUGUCAAAUUCGGCAAGUGGAUAAAAUAAACCGCUGUUCAUGGGGGUGGGGUAACAGUUUUUUAAACCGAGAAGAUAGCAAUGCCAGUAGUUAUUUAUGGACCAGCUACUUAAUUUACUGGAACAUGGCUCUUGCCUCUUGGCUUGGGUAGAAAUAGACACUGUGCCCAUUGCCUUGCUGAGAAUGUAUUGAUGUUAUGUGCGCCCACGUAUUCAACAACUGUUCUCCCUCAUCGUUUCACGAAUUGAUUCAUGACGCGAGAGCUUUGUCAAUUUAAUUUUAGAGUUUAGUCAUUCACCAACGGGUAUUUACUAUCACUAUUGUGUUCGUUGAAACUUGAAAACAAACAGUACAACACCAGUGCCAACUUAAUCAAGUAGAAAUUAUAGCAAGAGGUCCAACAAAAACGGGGACUCCUACCACACAGGAUCCUCAGUACUAUUUUUUCUGUGACAAUUCAGUGUGAUUUCUAUAUUUAUGUCAAAUGUCCUGUUCAUUUAAUUUAUCAAGUGUUGUUUAUUUAAAUUUCUUCUACCAUCACGUGAUAAGUGGAAUUGGCAUUGGAUUUGACACCGAAUAGUGACACAGAGAGGAUCCCAACUGAUCUCCUACCCGCCCUUGUGCAUUAUGAUAAGCAGUAAGCUACUCCAAUCCAAUACCUUACCUGGCAGUUCUAUAGUAUUAACUAUUAACGCCACCUGGUCCAGAGUUCAAAGUGUUUCACUUGAGCGAUCAAUAUAGCAAAUUCAUGCGUUCAAGUUGAUUACCUCACUGAAUCAGAUUAUUCCUUCUACUCUUAACCAGUGCCACUUUGAGCCCCAACUCAUCUGCAUGCUAUGGAAUUCAGUGGGGAAAGAACUCUUUGGAGUUUUGUGGAUGAGGAGAAAAAGAACAUAAACUUGCCAAGGAGACUUUCAUUUGGAAACCAGGAGCUUGAUUCUCAUUUGGCUUCCGCAAGAACAUCUUGUGCUUCUGCCGCAUCUUUCCCACUCUGGCCGAUGAGCCCUGAGACCCCGUGGACCAGAUCUCCGUUGCAUGCAUCCGCAUCCCCAAACUCAUCUCUUCUCUACCAUUGUAUAGCCUCUCUCCAUCGCAGUGAAGGUAAAAUCUUCUCCAUAGCCGCAUCAAAAGACUUUGUCUUCACUGCGUCAGACAGCAGAAGGAUCCAUGCAUGGAAACUUCCAGAUUGCACGGAGAUGGGAUACAUCAAGGCUAAAGCUGGGGGAAUUCGAACCAUCUUGGCUCAUGGGAAGCUGCUCUUCACUGCGCACGGGGACCACAAAAUCCGGGUUUGGGACAUGCCACCAACAGAAAACUUUCAACACAAGAAAAUCACCACCUUGCCAAGAAGAUCUUUCCUGGUGUAUGCUAAAAUGAAUAUCCAUAAAGACUCUAUAUCAUGUAUGGCUUACAACCACAUGGAAAACCUUCUGUACACAGGUUCCUGGGACAAGACAGUUAAGGUGUGGAAAAUCAGAGAAAAGCAAUGCCUCGAUUCGUUCGAGGCUCACGAAGGUAAUGUGACUGCAAUUGUGAUAAACCAAGAAGACGGCUGUGUUUUCACGGGUUCUUCAGAUGGAACGGUGAAAAUAUGGCGAAGGGUUUACCGUGAAAGCUCCCACAUUCUCACAAUGACCCUAAAGUUUCAACCAUCACCGAUAAAUGCCUUGGCUUUGAGCUCGUCACCUGGCGGUUGCUUCCUCUAUUCUGGCUCGUCGGAUGGGCUCAUAAACUAUUGGCAGAAGGAGAGAAUGUCCGGGAGGUUCAAUCAUAAAGGAUUUUUACAGGGUCACCAUUUUGCAGUUCUUUGUUUAGUGUCGAUUGGGGGCUUGAUCUUGAGCGGUUCUGAGGAUGCCACCAUAAGGAUAUGGAGAAGAGAGGACGGAGAUUCCUUCCAUUCAUGUCUUGCGGUCAUUGAUGGCCACCAUGGGCCAGUGAAAUGCUUAGCGGCUUCACUAGAAACCGCUGAUGUAUUGAUUCGACUGUUAGUUUACAGUGCUAGCUUGGACCAAACUUUUAAGGUAUGGCGAGUUAAAGUAUAUCCAGCUGAGAAUGUGAACUUGGAAAAGUCAGAAGCAAAGCAUAGCCAAGUAGAAAUGGAGUGUCAAAUGAGUCCAGUACUAUCUCCUUCAUGGGUGGAGAGGAAAAUGCAGGGAAGCCACUUUGAAUAGGAUAAUGAUAAAAUACAUGAACUUUACAUGCAUGUUUAUCUGAUAAUCCUGUUAAGAAUUUAGGUUAUUGUAGAUGACAGCAGUGUACGUAGUGUCCGAUAAGAUCUAGUUUCAAGUAGAAAUAGAACUGCAAAAUAUUGAGUUUAUACUUGAUUCGUUUCAUAUCUUUUCUUAGUUCUGUGUGAGAAUCUAGCUCCAUUUAUGCAGGCAGAUUAUGGUGCCAUUUCAGUUAACCAAAUACUGAGUAUUUCUUUCUGCCUGCCCUGAAUUUAAGAAUUUAAGGUUGUGACUUGUGAGUGCGAGUUAAGCGUUCUCUGACAUCUUUUACAUCUGUUUGUAGCUUUAUGUUUCCUGCUCAACAGUACGGAUUUCGUGAGGAUGAAGCCUCUACAUCUUAUAACUGUUCGAAGAUGUACUUUGCCUGUGCUAACCUGUCAAAUUGUGAUUUGCAAUCUAAAUAGAGAGGUAGGAAUCGAACCCGACCACUAGGAAGGACCUCAAAUCGCUCGGCAUCCCUACGGGGCGGGGGAUGGCCGCUAGGGGUGGCAACGGGACGGGGUUGGGGCGGACUCCCCCAUCCUCCGCCCCGCUGCCUACAAACUCCCCCCGCCCUCGCCCCGUCCCGCGCCACCCACUCCCCCCGCCCCGCCUCGCUACCCCCGCGGGGUUAAUAAAAUUUUAUUAUAAUUCAAUUUUAAUAAAUAAUCAAGUACUAAAAUAUCAACACAUCAUCAAGUAAUUAUUCAUUUUAAUUUUACAAUUGAAACUCAUAAAAACAAUCAAACAAAAGUUAUUUGAAUACAAUCCAACAUGAUGAAAUAAAUACAACUAAAAUAGUUAAGUUUUUACUUUUGGUACAAAUACAAUCACUAAUUCAUUAUUGUGUUUGUGCUUUUUUUUUUGAGAAAAAAGUGUUAUUCUAUUAAGUGUAAUUAGAAAUUUAGUAUAAAUGUAUUAGUAAAUUUAGUAUAACUAAUUAAUAAAUUCUAUUAGUAGACAUGUCUAAUUAUUCAUAUAAUUGAUAAUAUCAAUUAUAUUACAUGCACUAAUAUACAUUAUAUAAUACAUCUAACUAAUAAUAUCAUUAUCAUAAGUUUAUAACUAAUUAAAUUACAUAUUAUAUAUAAUUAUAUUUUUUUUUUUUGCGGGUGGCGGGGCGGGGGAGUACCGGGAAAAAAUUCUCCCCCGCCCCGAGAGCCCCCCCGCGGGCAACCGCCCCCGUUGCCAUCCCUACGCUCGGCCCACCAUCCUUCCGUUCCGUGGGUGAAUCCUCCGCUAAGGGGCCAUACCAACUUGUACGGCAUACAUAGAAAUUCAUAACUCAGGGCAAAUCACACCACCAUCUAAGUCACCCCAUUUUGCAACCGAAUUUGUCCAAACACAUCAAAUGGUCCCCAUCAACCCAGUCUACCAAAUAGUACUAAUUUUUCAAUCAAAUUUACGAGAUGUUGGGUUUUCUUCAUUCAAUUAAUGACAGCUAACCACCUCAUUUUACUGAUGGGAAGUGAAGGGUCCUCUAGAUCGGUAAUCUAGUUGCAGAACCUAAUAAAAUUUAAGCUAACAAAAUGAUAGAUCGAAUCACCAACAGGACAAUAACUGCACGAUGAUCUGCUCCCGAAUCCUGCAUUAGAAACUUGGACGAAGCAAAUUCUUCCAAACACGAAAGUGUUACCCAAUCCCCUCGACACGAGUUCCAACAAUUUUUUAUUUGUAUAUUAGCUCAAGGGGAUGAUGGAAGACAUUGUGGAUAAACUAAUAGUCGAUUACAAAACACGCGAUUAUUAGAUUUGGCAUACUAGAAUAGUCAAUUACAAGACGUGUGAUUAUUUGAUUUGUUGUGUAUGUCACGUUAAAGAGAAAAGAACCUCAGUAGUCAUACAAGUUCCAGCAAAAAAUCAAACCGCAUAAAAUUUCUUUCCUACACAUAUUGAAGAUUGUGCGUCACGUCUUGGGUAAAGGAGUAUGAAGACAACCAGGUGAAGAGAAAAUACUAAAAAAACACUUAAACAGCUAAAGAGGGCACAAUGUUUCUUUAGAUGCAGGCGGGCAAUCUAAUCUAAUUGCGUAUCUUCGGGAAAGGGAAUAGAAGUGCAGCAAUGGUAAUAACCAUUUUCAUCAAACCGAAACCUUUCAGAAAGAUGGGCUUCACGGAUGACAUACACUCCCCAAUCCUCAGAUCCGUAUUGAUCAGCAAUACUUCGUGCAUCAAAGAAAUCAAACUUUCUUGUUCUCAUUUUUCUGCAAUUUAUCACAACGAAAGUAACCUUUAAAAACGGCAAAAUCAUCAGGCUGUAGAAAUGAUCAAAUACUCAACCAUAAAUAAGUUAAACUGAUUAAUUAAAAGCUUAGAAAGUAAAGCACCUUUUUCUGUGUCGGACAUUCAUCACAGUGGCAUGUAACUGCAUUUUAACGGGAACAGGUUAUUGCUGCAACAUUCUAAAUGAAACUACGACAGCAAAUUAUUGAAGAAGCAGCAAAUACAUACUACUAUAACAAUUUAGUAAGGAAAUAUACCAAGCAGCACCUGGAUAGAAUGAAAGGUUUUCCGAGGGGGGGAAAAAAGAGAUAAGAAACUCCAGUGCCAUACCUUUAGCUUGUGUGUCGCAUCUCUCUCAAGAACAAGACCAGCUUCAACAAAUGCAUCAAUGAUAACCUCUAACUUUGUUCAAGAAAAACACAAUAAAAAAAAAAGAGCACUCGGUAUAAUGUUAAAAAAUAAUGAUUUGGCAAGCCAACUAUAAUACUUCAUGUGCAAUGAGGAACAAAAAGUUAAAUUGGACGACCAGAAUAUUUGGAUACGACAAGCACGUAAUAGUCGUUCCUCGCCACCAAUUUCUUCAACAGGAGCAUAGAGAACACGAGCUUUAGCAAAAGAACCCUUCAUGCAUUCCUACAAGAACAUACACAAGAAACCUUAUGCAGUUGUGAAGAACUAAACAUAUGAUGAGCUUAAAAAAAGGAAAAAAAAUAAAAAUCGUCAUCCUUUACUCUUUUUUUUUUUUUUGGGCUGCAGGGUGGUGUCUUUGGUAUGAAUCUCAAUCUGGUACUCUCUCUAGUAAAGUAAGUCUAUAAUAACAAUCAUUCAAGUAACCCAGCAGUGUGAAAUGUAAUUGGGAAUUGCAUACGUUUAAGGAAAAAAAAUAAAAACCGUCAUCCUUUACUUUUUUUUUUUUUGGCUGCAGGGUGGUGUCUUUGGUAUGAAUCUCAAUCUGGUACUCUCUUUAGUAUAAGAAGGAUUGGGAUGUAAAGUAAGUCUAUAAUAACAAUCAUUCAAGUAACCCAGCAGUGUGAAAUGUAAUUGGGAAUUGCAUACAUUUUUUCUAAUUUGCCUCAAGGAUUUUUUUGCUUUCUUUCUGUUAUGAAAAACUUCAAGAAGUUAUGGUUUUCUUAACAAAAAAUGUGUUUUAAACUCGUAAAAUAAUGAUGCUCUGCGACUAACUUUCCAAGAUUAAAAAAUAAAAAUGAUACCAGGCCUUUAAGUUGAAUAGAAACAGGCCGGCUGUCCAAGGCUUGGAUUACUUCUGAUGAAAUGCUCUGCACGGCAGGAUGUCUGUCAUGGUCCACCACCAAUGUAACUAUCCAAACUCAAGAUUAUGAAGACAACCUUACCUGCAAUACCUCGGCUGCAGCUCUAAGUAGGUCCUUGUUCCAUAAUUUCAGCAUCAGUACAGUUAAGUGAAAAGUUUUCGGCCUAAUAAAUAUGGAUCUCUCAAUGCCUGACUCUGCCAUGUGAACACUACUUCAAAUACUACUCAAAGAUGAGAAGAAAUGAUAUAUGAAGAUAUAUUAAGGCAAGAGAACUAUUUGACCAAACACUGUCAAGCAAGAAAAUAGUCUCGGACAAAUAUUGAUGAAUGAACAUAUAAUCUGCGGAAACUUACAGGUAGACGCCAAGAACACCAAAGAAACAUGAUGACAAAAUUUAUUAAUUCCAUAUGCCAUAAAGACAGACUUGCAUACCAGAUACUUUUGAAGUCUUCUCCAAAGCAGAGGCCUUGGACAUUUUAGGUGGGUAACUUGCAAGUGGUAUGCUGGUGACACUCCUUCUAACAUGUUCAUUACCAUCUCUGGCUUUAAUUUCAAUUGCAUGUUUUGUUGCUUUAUCUGCGUGCUGUACAUCAGGUUCCUCAUCUGAUGUACUUGCAUCUGAAUCCACGGUUAGUAUAUCGCCUUGAUCUGUGUCUUGGGUUCCUAGGAUUGAAUUCUGAAAUUGGACCAGCUUAUCUACCAGUUGAGGAUGUAUAGCCAAUGGAAGUGAGACAAAGUGAGAGUAGUCAAGACUUGGGCUUUGAACUGCCUGUAGAGAUCAGAGGCAUACAAAAGCAAUACGCAUUACAAACUUAAGAAAAAUAGAAGACUCCACUGCCUAGUUUGAAUAUUCUAGAGCCCAAAACAGAUUCAAGAGAAGAAGAGAAAGACAACACAUACAAAUGAGGUGUGAUGAUCAGAUGUAAUAAAGAACAACAGCAGGAAAUCUACAGACUUAUUUGAAGACUGACAGAAAUGACAAAAGGAUAUCUUUGCAGGAUAAAAUCAUCAUGUGGUUGCAGGUAAAUAGGUAAACCAAUUCAUGUAAGAUAAUUUUACAAGAAAACAAAAAGAAACUCUCAGCAGUUUCCUUCAGUUUAGCUUUCUAAAUCUUGCAUUCAGUGUAUAUAUGAUAAACCAAUUAAGGAUGAUGGAGGUUUGGGAGAAAAAAGCUGUGCACUAAGAUGCCAACCAAAUGUAGUAAAAUGAUAAUAAUUACUAUAACAACUUCAGGAAUAUGUUCUAGCUGGUACUGACCUCAUCAAUAAUGUCCAGUACUCUCUUGUGUGCUCUAUCAACACUUUCAGCAGAAUCACCUUCAAUGACUGCAACAUAUGACUGUCAAAGUAAAAACUAUGAUACCCUUGUGAAUUUCAGCAGUGCAUCAGAAACUCCAAAACAAGAGAGUCCAAUCCUUAUAAUGGAGGGAAAAAAAACAAAGAGGAAAACGCUUAAAACAGGAAUUAAGACUCUGAGAGCCUGAUGGUUGAGAAAAAGAUUGUAAAGAGUGUACAACAUGAGUGAGACUCUAUUUUAUCAGCUACCAAGGACAAUUUUCUGAUUCAGUUGUCCAACUUCAGCAAAUAUAAAAGGAUUACUAGUGCAUUAUAUGCCAUCAGAGGCUAAGAUUGUUGACCCUAAAUCACAGAGCAAGAUGUUCAUCAUAUACGUUCAUAACAGAAAAAGACUGAACUAAGUUGGUCAGAUAUAAGAAACCUACUUAUAGAUUCCUCCUUUUUGGAAGAAGGAAAGAUAAUUUGAACUCCCAUCUCUUCCUCAACUUUUCGUUGUGUGGCUCCCCUGUAGGAGAAAAUUUUUAGGAACACAUAGAAUGAUAAAUAAUCUCAAAAGAAAUGGACAUAUGCUUUCAUACCCUUUUCCUUUGAUAAAACGGAUCAGUGAAGACCCCACCUACAGAUUGUCAAAUAAAAUUAGACACAAGAAAGACGAGAAAACAAAACUACUAAAUAUUAUGUUGAAGACAAAUUGAUACUUACCAUCGUAUAGUAGCAAAUUAGUCAUAUGCUAGGAAAAGGAUAAGAAGCAUGUAAAUAAUUACACAAUGCAUAUUAAACUUGUGAUAAAAUUUUGCUUGACACACGUACUUUAAUGGUUAAAAACUCAGAACCCCUUAUAUUCAGAGGCAUGCAGGAACCGACAUGAAUUUACAAAUCCAUAAUGAAAGUUUGUUACUGCAAGCAACUUCCUACUGCUAAAACAUAUGCUCCCUAGGAAGAUAAAGCAAGACCAGUUAUGUCGGCAGUAGAUAUAUCAGAAGCAUACCUCUAGUGAAAUCGAAUGCUUUGCAGUUGAAGAUAUUGGCUCUAUUGAAGCUGCAUCCUUCUCAGAUGAAUUUAUGGGUUCUCCUUGUAAUCCUUUAACUUCAUCACCAGAUUUCACUGACCGAAGAUUAAUCUCUUGAUCAUCCCCAACUCUGACUUCAUUUUCACGUUCAAUUGUUGAAAGAUGUGAAGAAAUGCCAUCCUGCACUUCUUUCACUUGACUCUCUAUUUCAUUCUUCUCACUACCAGCAACAACUGCAGAGUUCUCAGAAUCAAUCUUUACGCUGUUGCCUUCAAAAUCUGUGCAUUCACAUCUAAAACCAGUCAAUUGCCAGACGUAAUUCCAUUCUGGAGUGCAUGUGUACCAAUAUCAGCAGUUCUAAGUUUCAAAGACAGAUCAAGAUCGGUAAUUUCAACAAGUUUUUAGUAAAGCAUCUGCAGCAUAAAAUAGAUAUUGUAAGAGCAAGGCAGGUACUUCUUCGGAACUUGGAAAACAACAGUUCAUCUGAUCAGAACACCAACACCACUUGGUCUCACACUUUCAACAAGUCACAAGUGUAGUCUUUUCACAUGAUCUUCAGCACAAAUUUACCCUGCUACCUGCUCUUCACUUUCUCCCAAAGAAAUUGAACAGCGAAUAAAUUCUUCAUUUUUGUCACUUGUUAAUUAGAUUUUUUAACCCAUCCGCGUUUCUAAAAUGACAGAAAUAAAUUUUCCAUAAAUGAUCAUCUAUUGGUCUUCCUAAGACAGCACCAAGCACCGUGAAGUGAACAUAUGAACAAUUCCCAGGAGUUGAUUGGUACAACAUGAAGCAAAGUUGUAGUGUGACUAAAAUCGACGUGGGAGGUAGAUAUACAAAUAUGCAAUGAAAAGUGAACUUCAGAUUCAGCUGAGAAACCUCACCUUGGCUGCUACUUGAUUGUGUAGCCACUUGUCUCCACACACGGGAAACCUUAUCUCGUCUUGUCCGGUCCAUAUCUGAAUGUAGAAGUGCCCCAAUAUCAACGCUCCGCAACUUAUGAUCAAAAGAGCAUCUCUGCCACAUGAAUUACCAGAGUCGGUUAAUUCAGAAAUUUGUACCACGAAAAUUCAUAAUUUCAAAAUUUUCUCUCCUCAUUCCUCAAAAUGAAACAUAAUAGUACUCAUAACCUCACUAUUCAGACCGUGUGAAAAAAAGUGUAAUUCUAGCCAUACGAUUUAGAUAAUACAUUAAAUGAGAAAAAGACAUGUAUCUCCAUUAAAGAACAUCUUCAGCAAUUUGUGAGAGGAAUUCCAACCAGUAAGUGUCGUACGGAGUUGGAAUUUGCAGAGAGUUUAGUGACUGUUCUAGCAAGGUCGGCUCUGCAGCGACAGUGAAUUAGACAUGUAAUAAGAACCAAUAACUCUGAAUAAUUGAUGAAUUGCAAGAGCUGUUAAUAUGUGCAGUUCAAAGGCGAAAGAGGUUGUCUUUCUGAAUUUUAGUGGCGGAGUGAAGUUACGAUUUUGCGAGUUUACCUAAUGAGGGACCUGCAACUGCAAGCUAGCAUUCGCGAACGUCGUCGUCGUUGGCGGCGGAAGCAGCUGAGAUGAGUGGGAAAUUGGCACUUAGGUCUGAUCUCUUGGUAAUUUUAUUUUUAAUUUUCCUUUUGCUGUUUCCAAACACGUGUGAAGAGUUGGCCUAAAACUAAUAAAAUAAACUACAAAAAUAAGAAUAGAGAGAAAAUAGAAAAUUAUUUUUUUAUUAUUUCAGUUGAUCGCAAGUUGUUACGAAAAAGUUAGAACACCUCUGCGUGUGUGUAUAUAUAUAUAUAUAUAUAUAUAUAUAGAGAGAUAAUACGAGAUUAAGGAUACAUGAAUCAUAUUAAACAUCCAUUCACGAAUUUAGUACUUCAAGUACAUGAAUUGAAUAGCUCCAUUAAUGAACUAACGAAUAACGAAAGGAUUCACCUAAUACACCAAUGAAUCUUGUCGAGAAUUCAUGAAUCAAUUUUCUCGAAAAUACGAAUGGACAUUGUAAAAGUUAAUUAAUCCUCCCACUUAACAUUUAACUAGAAAAAAAUUAAAGCUUGAAUAACUUUUAUGUAAAAUUUUAUCUUUUUUUUCGACUGAACAGAAGGCAGGAAACAAAAGAAAGAUUUAUGUAUCAAGUAUGUAAUAACUUAUGUAAACUUAAUACAAUGACCUUUAGUUAUAAGAGGUUGGUUUUAUUUAUAAGCAUUUGCAAUUUGGAGAUCCAUCUAAAGCAAGUUGUGAGAAUGAUAUGGGAGUUGUUCGUGUUUGGAUCAAAAGUAGACUCAAUUAUGGUAUAUUCACCCGUCCUCAGUGUUCCACUUGGUCACAAAAGCAGAGAAAGACCGUUUCUUAAAUUCUCAAAAGCAUACCUUAGAUUGUGCGCAGAGUUGAUGUAAUGAUUAUACAAAUCAAUCAAAUCCAUGCUUCGACUUUAUUAAAAGAUUUUGCGCACUGAAAAAAAGUGUGCCGGUAUACCAAGUCCUUUUCACUAUCAAAUCAAACAAAUACCAUACUUGGGAUAUUAGACUGCCAAAUACCAUCAGCUAAAGGCAGGAAUACCAUAAGAACCCUUUCUUUAUUUUUGCAAGGAACCUCAAAUUCCAGCUUAUCCUCUACCUCUAUUUUACAGUUCCAGAGAGCCAUAACGGGCCUCUGUCAAACUGAUGGUUUGCUUAGGAAUUGCAUUCAGGUGCAAGCACACUUCUGGAAUAUCUUAUCUCCUCUCCGCGUUGGUGAUCGUAGCCAUUCUUGUGGGGUUAAGAAUACUUUGUUACGGCGUAUAUCGGCUUUCACAUCGACGGGAGCCCAGCAAUUAUGGUUCUGAUGCUGGGGUGGAGUUGCAGCAGCCGAGCAGCGGUCCAUGGCAGCCUCCCCUGAGUUAUAUGAUCAGGACAAGUUUGCCGGAGAGUAAGCUUGUGAUCUUAGCUGCUGGAGAUGAUCAAGUUUCAUCUGUGGCUCAACCCAUAACCUUUCUUCGCCCCAAAUGAUUGAUUGGCUUAUGUGUGAUUCAAGAAUCAAGCCUACCACCAUUACUGGAUGUUCCUUUCAUGCUGAUGGCGGCAAUGAAGUGUUCAUUUUUCAACCUCAAACUCAAUUAAGUACCCAAGUACGUAUACACCAGAAAUUGAUUUGUAUAACCACAUCGCCACCAUUAAUAAUGCUAAAUAGUUGAUAAAUUCACCGUUCGAUUAUUUGAAGGCCUCAUUCCUGAGUUAUAGGCUUGUUCCUUUGUGGGAUUUAUGCUCUACCCAAUACUGAACAAGUGGGGUUUCGAAUCAUAAUUGAUUGGGAAAAGGUGGUAAUAUUCAAUACACUUUGCUUUCUGUUGCGUCUUCCCUCAUCUGAGAUCCCUGGGAAAGGGGAUCAAGUUGGCCCUUGUGAACAGCUUGCUGCACUAUCUCCCUUUAACCCUUUGAGCGAAAUGCGGCAAAAGGAAGAAAAAUCUAUGGACCGACCCCAUCAUCUCCACCCCGUAGGAACUACGAGAUCACCCCAAAGACGCCUUCGGCAUCCAGGGGUCACGGACCGACCAUAGAACCCUGUUCAAUAAGUGGAACACAUUAGCUGUCCGCGUUGGGUAGUAAGGGUCGGGAGGGCCUUAAUCCACGAUUCCUCCAUCUUAAAUAUACACCUAAUUAAUACUACAACUUCUUUACUAGUGUCAUGAAGCAGCAGGAGUGUGAAUUUACUAGUCCAUUCCUAAAAUUUAUCACUAGCAUCAUGUUUUUCCAAACAACAAUAUAUUAACACCUUAUCUCGGAACUAAUCAUUUUAAGCGUUUAUUUUUUUUUCUUUUUUAAGUUUGAACAGAAGAAAAAGCAAAGCAUCCAACACAUACACGUACUCCGGGGUUCAUAGAUGAAGCAGGCAAAUCUCAUACUAAUUCACAGUUGCUAGCCAGCACGAGUAAAUCCAGUAUUACUCCCUAGUCUUCUGUACAUCUAAGCAUUAAAUUUGGUCGUCUAAACUUUGCUCUCCUGGUGUCCAUUCCUCGAAGAUGGGAAGAACUGAACCGUCAUUAUAUAUCUCCUUUUAGUCCAUGGCAUCUAAAAGACUGAAAACAGUUCCAGCGGGUUUUUUACCAGACGGGUGGGUCAUUUUCCAUUUCAUGCAAGCUCAAAGUACUCGCAGUUGUUCUGUAGGGUACCUCGUGCGGUACUACUUGCACACUUGACCCGCCAAACUUUAAGGACUCCAUCCAAACUUCCAGUGCAGAUGGUACAACCAUCAUCAACCUCCUCAUUGCCAGUCCCACAAGCAGCAACAAAUGCUGCAACGCACCUGAUCGGUCCUCUAUGACCCAAAAGGACUGCCAAACAUUUAUGCUGACCCUCUGGAUCCCUAACCCAUACCCGGCAGCUGGAGUCAGCCGACCCGCUAACCACAUAACUGGCCGCGGUGGCCAAGCACAUUACCGCGUGAGUAUGGCCUUGGAGGGGGCCCCCAUAUUGCAACUGCCCCGAAAACCAACCUUUUAGCCAAUAGUGUAUGUAGCCAUCGGUGCACCCGCCGUAGAGGAACCCUCCAUCCGCCGUCAAGGUCAGGGUUUUUACCGGGGAAUACUUUGCGGGCAGGGUGACUGUCAGGGAAUGUGGGCGGUCCCCGCUGCAAAAGUUGCGCCUCCACACCCUGACCGUGGCAUCGUCGGAUGCGGUGUAGAGGACUCCGUCGUCAGCUACAACUAUGGCAUUGAUGGGCUCUCGAUGGGCUUGAAUUGUCUCCAUGCAUUUUAGAUCAGAUAUUCUCCAUACUUUUACUGUUCUAUCAAGAGAAGCUGAGUAGAGGAUGUCAUCUGAUACGUUAAUUGCUAGUGAUGUUAUUGGUGCCGCAUGUUUCAUCUGUACGUUGCAUGUAUUGAUCAAUCUUUAGGGGCCAAAAAAGAGGGAAAAGAAAACUCAAGGGUUAUGCAUGUAUGGGUUCAAUUGUGAGCGAUGUUUACCCGUCCAUCAUGUUGCAUGCGUUGGUACAUCUCUAAAAGAAACAAAAAAAAAGGGGGUGGAGAAACAAACUGCCUCCAAAAAUAUCAUGCAAGAUUCUCUAAUGAGAUCAAAAACAGAGUUGAGGGGUUGACACCUUAAAAAAAAUAAAAUGUAGUUAAAUAGGAAAAAUAUAUAAAUAUAAAGUUGGAUAAUAAUUAUUAAUAUAUGCACAUACAUGUUAAGUUAGAUGUGAUUUUAGAUAUAUUAACGAGUAUAUAUUGAACAUUCUUUUUAAAACAAAACCCUGUAUAUGCACAAGUUGGAUACUCAGCAUGCAGCACAAGUAUUUAAGAUGGAGGGAUGGUAUAAAUGUUUGUAGAAAGGCCAUAGUUGCAUGGUAGAUGAAAAUUGUCUGCCAUAUUAUGGAGCUCGCUCUCGACUUAGUUGUUUGUGCAUUUAAUUGCAUCACCUUUAAUUUGCUGUCCAAACCCAGAAAAUUGCACAAUAAAUGGGAACGGAUGAAUCUAUUGAAUAUGUGUAUGAAAGCUUUGUUAUGAUUUCAACAAACAACUGCUAUCUAGCUGAUAUAUUCAGAAAUAUUUAUGAUAGUUAAGCUGAUAUUUGGAGGGUUAGGUUAGAUGGCAAAAGCCUCUUAGUUAAAAUUAAAAAAAAAAAAAAAAAAAUCUUGGCAUUAUUGCACUUGAAGACACAUAUUGGGCCAAUGUCUACAUAAUUUGCUUUUAUGAACAAAAGAGGCCAAUUCAUGGCAUUGAAGGUUUAUACUACUUGUAUCAUUCUGUGGCUUUCCCGCCACCGGAAGACCCAAAUUCCCAAAUUGUUUGUGAAAGAUAGGGAAGACGGCGGAGACGGGUGGGCAUACGGGAUACUUGAUUACAUAAUGCACAUAGUAUAUGAUUCCAUUUUUAAUGAUAAUCUAGUUAUUCUCUUUCUUAUUGCAGUCGUUGAAAAAAGCUUUUUAAUCAUUAUCCAAAGAAAAAAAAAAAGCUUUUUAAUGGGAACUGGAGUCCAAAACUUGACUUUAAUUAGUUUCAAUCCUUGAAAGGCCCUAAAACUCGAUUUCCCAAUGGCAGAUAGUUCCUGAAACAAGUAAAAGUCAAGACUCCUCCAAUCAUAUGUUUAGACCCCCUGCAUGCUUUUUAAUCUCUUGUAAACGGCAGGCCUACAGUCUACUUUUUAUUAAUGAAUUGCACUCUCAUUAUUUAUUUUAUCAUAUGGUCUAAUAAAUGAAAUUCAUAUGAUAAAAAUGACAGUGGGGGUUUGCAAUUAACAAAAAUUGGAGUGCGAUUGACAUUUUUGCUUUUUUUUUUUGGGAAAUCCUGAUUAGUAAAUCAUACAACGUAAGAAAAUUAAACAUUCAGUUCUCUAAAAUCUUGUCAUAUGCCCAAAAAAAAAUAAAAUUUUGAUUUCGCAUAUAACAAAAUUACUGCACCAAACCAGCUCGGUUCUUUAAAAUAAUAGAGUUGUUUUCAGAAACUAUGCUACUUAUAAUGGGGUUAACCUAAAGUAGUUUAGCUCCCCCCAAAAAAAAUUAUGUUAAAGUGGACUGCGCAAUUGUUAAAAAAAAGUGUAAUGAGAGUCGAAUAUUAAGGAUGGGUUCAGUUUUAUUCUUAUCCAGGUUUAGUAAUUCAUAAUAGGAAAAGGUAGGUUUGGAAUUCAUGUCCGGAGCAGUAAUGGAACCUAUGCUGUUUUCUGCAUUGCUAUUUGGAGGUCUAUUUAGAAGUUUUAAAGCAACUGUUGCUAUGAAUCUUAUAAAGAGUCGACUGAAGCACGCGAUCUUUGAAGCAACCACAUAAUCAUCACCGUAUUUCCAUCCACAUGAGGCUUUUUUUUUUUUUUUUGUUGAAAACAGAAAAAAUUAGUAGUAAUAAAAUCGUUCUGAUCCUAAUUAAGGACCGGUGUCCAUGCAGAACACAGUGAUAUUUAGCACUCACACAUGGCCGACCUAUUCUACUCUCUUCAGAUUAAUUAUGAUAUACAGUUGUAUGCCAAUUAACUACAACAAUAAAAGAAAGCUUGAGUAAUUAUGAAGAAGAAAGAUUACCAUCUUAUCUUUGCCGGUGAUGUAGCUGCGGACAUAACCUCCGGGCUUAGGAAUAGUUGCUACUCGUACAUGUUUUACAGCUCCUUCCCAGGUUCGGUGCCAAACCCGGAUUUUACAAUCGGCAUACGCAGCAUAAACCUUAUCAUUCGAUACUUGUAAGGAAACAACCAUGUUGGCCUUGGACUUGAGCUGGCCGCAUUCGGCGAACUCGGGCAGCUUCCAUAUUCGAAUGAUACUACCCUGGGAACCGGUAUACGCCAGACCAUUGGACGCUGCGAUGGACAAAAUCUGGCCGUCCUUUUUUAGCACCGAAGAAAUGCAUCUGUAGAUGGUGUGGAGAUCAUGGUCCUGCUUGGAGGACGUGAAGGAAAGGCGAGGAGAGGAAGGUUGAGAGAGGUAAAGGCGGGGAGAGAGGGAAGUUGAACUUAAACGAGGUGGGGUUUCAGCGAAGGAGGCUUCUUUAUGGGAAAUACUCCUGGAGAAUUUGUUGGUGGCGUCUUGAGUUCUUAUGGCUAGAGAUGGAAUAUUUGGGGGAGAAUCGGGACGGGGAGAGUCUAGUGAUGCCAUUUGCAUCUCUCUUACUCUUUCUCUACUAUUUCCUUUCUUGAUCUUGAAUGGAUGGAUGGAGAGAUGGUACGGGAAUUAUGGAGCUGGUGGAGCGUUACGGUAGUAGAACAUUUAAUUUAUGUGCCAUGCACAAAUUAAUGCUUCUACCAAGAUUAGGCAAAGUCAUCAUGUCAGCAGCGUAAUAAUUAUGGCAAAAAUUCUUAUUUCUUAAUUCUAUGGAGGUUGUGGUCUGUGUGAAUGGUAGCGUGGGUAAGGAACGUAAAAGUUUUGUCACGUGAAGUUGUGAUAAGCAUUUUUAUCUUAGUUUUAGCACAGAACGUCGUCGUGUGUCAAUCUUUCAUUAUCUUAGGCCGGCUUUUAUUUAUUUAUUUAUGCCCAGGAUUAGAAAGCGCAAUUGCUACGCAUUGUGCCAUUGGCAUUAGUGCUGUUAAUAGAGCCAAGUCGAGUCGAGUAUCUAAGCGCCGAGCUCGACUCGUAACAAAUUCGAGUCAGGCUCGAGCUCGCUCGACCGCCCGGACGAGCCAUGAUAUGCACUCGAACUCCGACUCGAAAAAUAGAAAUGUUACUCGAAUUCAAGUUCGAGCUCGACUCAUUUAUCACAAACGAACCAAGCUCGGAAGAGCUCGAGCUCGAGCUCGAAAUAUCUGUCCUAGCUCGAGGCUCGAUUUUGAGGCUCAAGUUCGAGGCUCGAGGCUCGAGGCUCGAUUUCGAAAUAUUUGUCCAGCAAUCAGUUAUUUCGAAGUCCUGCUCCAACAUAGUUCCAAUUAAUAGAUCCAAAAAUUUGUCCAAAGUUAGGCUAUCCAAAAUCAACAAAAAUUACUAGGAUUGGCAACCAAUGCCAUUCUUAUUCAAGAAUAGACAAACUCUAACCACAUUUCAUCCGAGACAACAUAUAAGACCAUAACAUCCAUACAACACAAACUAAUAAUUAAAGACUAGGCAAGAAAACAACCAUAUUUACCUUAAAUUUAAGCUAUAUGCAAAGUAAAAAAAAACUUUAUUGAAAGGUCACAUCUUCUUUCUAGUUUUACAUUUCCUGAUUGUACAAAUUUCUGAAUCGUUCGUUCAGAAAUUGGCCAUCAAGACUGCCUCCCCAAGAAUGUGUCUUUCGAUUGCUUCCAUCACCUUCUCCUUCGUCACCUACAUUUAUUACAGUAAUAGUAGAAAUCGAUUAAUUACACAUUAAUAUUUCCAAUGAACUCAGUAAAAUAAAAUAGGGGUAUACACAUUAAUAUCUGAUUCUAUUCAACACAGAAAACUUUAAAAAAAAAACUCAAUCUUGAACCCAUAUAUAAUCAGCAUAAGCAGCCCCAAUACUCAGUAAACAAGAACAGGCUUAAACUCAUAUGAACAUAAAAAUCAUGUUUAACAAUAAUGAAAGGUAGCUAAUAUCAACAUUGGGCAGCCAACUCUUCCAGACAAUAAUGCAACAAAAUUGGGCUCCAGAUCAUUAAUUAUUUGAUGAAUUGACCUUGCUGAAACAGUGAAACUUAAAUAUGAAAAUAUUUAUAACGUCUUUUGCCAAAUACAGGAAAUUAGCACCAGAGAUUUACCUCAUCAAGAGUUGUUAUCAGUAUACCACGAACUUUUUCCUGCACAAGGUUCUCUCUCAAAUCUUUUAACUUGUCUGCAACUGAACGACCAGAAAAUUGUGGAGGAUGCACAGCAACAGGAUUCAGUUCAAGUGGUGAGCGGCUAAUCCAAACUUCAUCCACCAAGUUUCUGGGUGUCUGAAUCAACUUUUGCUGUUUCUUACUAAAAGCAAUGGCAGCAUCUUUUGGUAAAUUCUAGUGUGGCAGUUAACAAAUACCAGUUAACGUGGUGAAUGUUUCCAAAAAAAGUGGUUCAUCAGGGAUUAGGAAACUAAAGAAUUGCUUCUUCUUGCGGCUUCACCGCUUCAGUAAACCCAGAAGUAAAAUUACAUAAUUUUAAAAAAAAACUAACGUGGGUAGCGGCGUGGGUUGCGAAGCCUCUGACUGUGGGUAGCGGCGGCGAAGCCUCUGGCUGUGUUUUGUUGUUGCGGCUGUGGGUAGCGGCGAAGCCUCUGGCUGUGGGUAGCGGCGGCGAAGCCUCUGGCUGUGGGGUGCGGGCCGUGCGGCUGAGAGGCAGAGACGGAGAGGGAGGUUGUGGGUAGCGGCGACGGCAAAGCUUAUGACUGUGGGGUGUGGGCCGUGCGGCUGAGAGGUAGAGACGGAGAGGGAGGUUGUGGGUAGCGGCGGCGGCGAAGCCUCUGACUGUGGGGUGUGGGCCGUGCGGCUGAGAGGCAGAGACGGAGAGAGAGGACUGUGGUCCAGUAGGGUGCGGCGGAGAAGAAGAAUGAAAUGAAAGCAAUGGAAAUAUCGAACCCUAGUCCAAAUUUCUGCUCUUUGACUGCUAAAAUGACAAAAAUGCCCUUCUUUGUCGAGCUCAAUCGAACUACUUGGUUAAAAAGAGAAUUCGAGCUUACUCGGCUCGAUAAUUAAAUGAGUAUAUUUCUAGUUCGAGUUCAACUGAAAUUAACGAGUCGAGCUCGAGCCUUAUCGAGUCGAACUCUAACGAACUUUCGAGCUACUAGUUUGGCUUAACAGCUCUAAUUGGCAUUCAAAGGUUUAAAACAAAAAUGGCGCGAUAAUAGAAAAAGAAGAAAGAACUUCCAAUCGUAACAAACGCACGAUGGCCAUGUUAUACCAACUUCAGAGGCACCAUAAGUUAAACUUAGAUUACACCAUUAGCCCUGCUUAGAAGAAUUUAAAGAUUUGACUCCGCCUCAGAUCAACCACAAACAUUGGCCUGAAUUUUUAAUAAUAUGUCUCGAAAGUUGACCGCGAUGCACAACUGCUUUCUUCUCCUUUUGCAUUUUUGCCCGUCUACACUCCGCAAUUACCUGCUAGCACAGAUUCUGGUGCAGUGAUAACUAAGAAAUUAAGACGAGGCAUCCAAGGUCUAUCAGGAAAUGCGCAAGGAAGUCAACUUGUUACGUCAACUAGAAUCUAGGCUCUAUUCUGAAAAAAGGAAAAAAAAAAUACAACAAAUGGCCCAAACUAGCCCUAAGAGUCUUGUUCAGAAAUCUGGAGGUAUACCAUCUGAGUAUAUCCAUUAAAUACAGAUGUUUCUAGUCGACCUAAUCCAAGCCUCCGGAAUAAGCCGUAUUUCCCAUCCUCAACAAUAGGACUGGGAACCCGAGCUGGAUCAUAUCUUGUUUGAUGGGUAAGUGAAGGACCAGCAACAGGGGGCAGCUCCCAAUAAAUAUCCAGCACCGACUCUACAAACCUGCUGUUCUGAAAAUGUUGCGAGUAUGUUAUUGCCUUGUUACUGUGAUUAAAAUCAUCGCGCAUCUGCCCUCUUACACCCCACCAUGCCUCACCUGGCCCACAUAGUUCAUCUAUAUCCACAGCCUUUUCCCAGAAUUUCUUCCUUCUAAACCUUAUCCUAGCUUCGUCACCAUCUCUAAAGCAGCUAUGGCCACCACCUGGAAGAAAAGCACAACUAUGUCCACUGAUUAAGAAAAAAAUACCUACUUAGCAAUGCAACGUCAAUAUUCUAAACAUCCCCAGUUCGAAAUGCUUACAUUAAAAAAAAUCUAAUGUACAAUACAAGCAAAUCAAUGCUUAUCUACAGCAUGAAAAUGAUUAACCACCCUUCAACACUUGCAUUAUGUGAUGAACAUAUCAACAAAGCAAUUCUCAUGUGAAGGGAAAUGCUCUAACAUGGAGGGCUGUCUUUUUUCUGAUCCUUCUGCACUCUCGCAAAAUGUGUACUCUUUUUUCAAUUUAUUCCUCAUUUAGAAAAGAAUCCUUAAAAUCUUAACACAGUCCUAUUACCAGAAACACAGUAAGCUGCAGAGUUGAACAGUAUUUUAUUGACUGAUGAACAUAUGGAUGAUUUGGAAGCACCAGCAGCGUAAUAACAAAUGACUUAACACACAUGCAUGUAUGAGGAUGAUUCACAAGACCCGAACAAGAUAUAACUUAAUAGGUCAGAAGAUCGAGGCCAUGAAGGGGCAAACAUGUAGAGCUAGAUUUGGGUAGAAAAGAUUACAAAAUGGGACAGCAAUGAUUGCCACAUAUCCUUGAGGAAGAGUACUCAAUUAGGCUCUAUAUUUUGUUAACUGACAACACUGCAGAAAAGAUAAAUCCUACAAAACAAAACAAAAAAAAGAAGAAGAAGAAGAAGCUUUCCAUAUUGCGUAGCCUUUCAUGUGUAUGUUUUUAUUAGUUACAGGAUAACCCUUUUUAUUCUUCAUAAGAUGCUAGGAAAUGAAAUCAAUCUCAAAUGUGACAUGGCCAGUAAGAAUCUUCUGCUUGCUUAAUAGAUCAAUAAAGCACAGGCAAAAUUACAUAGUUAAGCAUUAAAUAAAGUUAUUUAACAAAAUUGAUUUUACAUUUGAGUUGGCGAAGUUUCAUCUUAAGAAUGAAGUUCUAUAACAUGUGUCCCAUAACAAUUCAUCUGUCCAAGACAAGAAGACUAGGUGAGAACAAUUCAUCUCAUAACAAUUCAUAUGUACCACAACAAUUCAUCUGUCCAAGACAAAGAAGACUAGGUGAGAACCAACCUCUAAUAUAACUUUGAUCACAUAUCUGUCUGAAGGAAUAAUGAUCCCCUGUUCCAGUGUCAUAGUUAUCCUCAAAAACCAGAUGCCUGAAGCCAGCUUUGAGUGCUUGCUUUAACCUACAAGUCAUAUGAAAAAGUAAACAGAAAAAUAAAGAUCAGGGCUUUGAUAAACUCGGCCUGCAGGAUAUAACUGGAUAGUGGAUUGCUGAUCGUAAAUAAUCCAAGUUCUAACUAGAAAGUGCAAUCCGAAAUUGCAGAAACCAUGAUCACCUUUUCAGUUCAUUCUGAUGGUCAUCAAAGAAGACAAGAACCCGUGUGAGAUCUUUUAUUUUGUGUUUCUUCAUCACUCGGCCCCAGUCAACACUGCCAAAAUCCACAAAGUCUUUUCCAGCAAAGUACGUGCAAUUCCCAUCAACAUAAGCAGGCCCUUUUUUCAGGUACUUCUCAGGAUGGCGAGGGGAAAGCGAUACAAUUGGUGUAUCAGGCAUUGCUUGCCGUAAAACCCAUGUUGAAUGUCCCUUGAAGGCACCACUCUCAAUCAUCAAUUCUGGUUUCAGCCACUGGGCAAUGAACCAAAGCCCAAAACUGUGGUCAAAGCCCAUGCCAUACAUGUUGUUCUUUAUUGGUCGAGUUUCAUAGAUAGGCACAAACUCCUCCAAACCUUUGAGUAAAUCCUUCAUUGUCCAUUCAACAGUUUUUCCUUGUUUCGAUCUGCCUUUUGACAAGGAUAGCAAUUAAACGGAUGAAAACUAUAUAAGCAUUUCUUUCUGUUCUCAACUUAAUCCUCAAAGUGAUAAAAACGACGAGUUUAAUCUCAAUUGUGCUAAUUGGUUACUGAUUUGUUCGCAACACAUUUAGGAACAAAGUCCCUGAAGGAGAAGAACGGUGAGAAAAAAAAAAAGUAAAAAGGCCAACAUAAAAGGUCCGGAUAAUAGUAGUUGAGCGGCUUUAGUACACCUAAGGCAGCAAUUAACAAGUCGUGUCAACUAUUGCUUGUAGGAUCAAGUAAUGGUUGCCGCACACAGGUAAAUGAACAGUAACAAAGUACUAAGUUAGACCCUGAAUUAUUCUUCUACUUAAUCCUUUUGGACAAUGACCAAACAUUUUAUCUUCAAACCCCAUAUUCCCAAGCAAGAAGAAUGAUAUAACUCAGGCACAGCUCGAUUUUUCUUCUCUAUAAGCCUGAUUAACCCCUCUUUCCCCCCCCCCCCGGGGGGCGGGACCGCUGCCCCUUCAAAAAAAAUACCGAAACCGCAGCUCCAAAGGUUCCCGCACAAUUGAUUGGCAAAUUAAUAACUCACCUUUAGUCAGGCAAAUCCUAAUAAGAAACCCUCAAGAGAGAUGAAAUUUUUCUCAAAAUACAAAUCCACAUAUAUCACAAACGAUUAACAACAAAACUAAUCAAGUCAGAUCUGUAUUAACAAAGUUUCCUUAAAACCAUAAAAAAAUCCCUGAAAAGAGAGGGAGAAAAAGAACUUACACCAGGGAACACCAAGGGACCCGAAAUCCGACUCGAGGUCAUCGAAGCCGAAGAAGCGUAACCGAGAUAUAUGAUCGGACGAAGCGGCCUUGAGGCAGACCAAAUCACGGGUGUGGACGAAGAUGGAGCAAAUCACGAUAACCACAAGACCUAGAAUGAGAAUGGGCCAUAAAUGUCCAGUCCGGGUCAAGUAAUUGGUAAGCCGCAUUGCAGCAGUGGAAGCGUGCUUCCGGGUUUUGGAUUCAUCGGCGCCGGAUUCUUCGUCGCCUUCCACUUCAUCAUUCACUUGCGCCGCCCUUCGUGUCGAUACCGAGAGUGCCCUCUCCAGCAUCUUGUGUGGUGUACUCGUCAUUUUCGUUCCUCCACUCUCUUUAUUAGUGAAGUGUUGAGGAGAGCAGACUAAUUAAUCACUGUUGGAACCUAAAGUUUAAGAAGAUUAAUUAAUCACAGACUUAUAUCCUAUGUCGUGGUAGUACUAAUUGGAAGCGGAGCUCCCUUCUACCGCUUAUUUGUUAAGUGCAUAUUACCAUGCGAUUUUAAGACUUUCCCUCUUCUUCUUUUUAUUACUACCUGAUCAAGCUAUCCUUAAAUUCCAUCCCACCGCUGUUUCGUGUAUAUGCAAAAAUAUAUAUAAUAAUAAAAGUGAGAAAUUUUUUGAAAUGAAUUGUUGCAACUCGUUCAGAAAAUUUUUGAACCAAAAUCAAUUCACAGUACACAACCUAAUACACUUCGUUUGGAAUAGUUGUGUUUUGAAAUAUUUUAUUACAACAAUUUAUAUAAAAAAAUUUUCCCAUAAAUAUUUUUUGUAAUGUUUUUAAGACAUAUUUUGGAAUGUUCUUAAAACUUAAAAUUUUUAGGAUAUUUUUUAAAAAUUAACACUACUACCCACCGCCACCACGCCUUCUCUCCCUCCUCCUCUCUCCUUCCCCUCCCUCUUCCUCCUCCUAUCUCUUCUCCUCCCUCUCUCACCUCGUCCCCUUCCGCACUCCUCCCCUCCCCUUCCAAAUCACAGCCUUUGGUUGCAACCAAAGAUUGAGGCCAGAUCCGAGAAGGGGGGACCUUAAGAGGAGGGUUGUGACGGGGAAGGAGAAGGGAGUAUGGGAGGAGGAACAAGAGGAAGAAGAAAGAGGGAGUAAGAGGGAGAAGAAAGAGGAGGAAGGAGAAGAUGUUGGUGGUGAUGGAUAGAAGAAGAAGAUGGUGUAGAUUUAUAUAUAUAUAUAUAUAUAUAUAUAGAGUUGUUUUUGAUAUAAAGAAUGAAUGUGAUGUUUUUGAAUUUGUUUUUGUUUAUGUAUUACUGUAACAUUGUAUAUAAAAAAAAAACUUAUUUUUCAAAAAAUGGAGAAUCCAAACAGAGCAUUUGUCUCAAGCUGGCCGAGCAACAAGAAUAAAUAAUCUCCAACAAGUGAAUAAACAUCAUCAUGCGACAAAGGGAGGAAGGUAACAGUAAAACUGAUUUGCUGUUAGCAAGCACUUCAUUUACAUUCUGAUUUCUGUUCAAGAAGUUAAAUAAAAGGAGGAAACAAGAUAUCUGGGCUUUCUCCAGUUGUGCUGCUGUUCGUUACAAUAUAUUUCCAUCUAAUAAAACCUAACACUUUAACCCAGCCAAAAUAUCAAGAAAGCUUCAGCAAAAUCCCCCAUUUGUGGAACUUUUUGUAACUUUUUAACUUUGGUUCUUGAACUUCU